UACGUAGGGUGCAAGCGUUGUCCGGAAUUAUUGGGCGUAAAGAGCGUGUAGGCGGCCCCGUUAGUCCGCUGUGAAAGUCCAGGGCUCAACCCUGGAAUGCCGGUGGAUACUGUCGGGCUAGAGUCCGGAAGAGGCGAGUGGAAUUCCUGGUGUAGCGGUGGAAUGCGCAGAUAUCAGGAGGAACACCAAUAGCGAAGGCAGCUCGCUGGGACGGUACUGACGCUGAGGCGCGAAAGCGUGGGGAGCGAACAGG
rnacentral:rRNA from 1 species